GAUGAACGCUGGCGGCGUGCCUAAUACAUGCAAGUCGAGCGAACAGACGAGGAGCUUGCUCCUCUGACGUUAGCGGCGGACGGGUGAGUAACACGUGGAUAACCUACCUAUAAGACUGGGAUAACUUCGGGAAACCGGAGCUAAUACCGGAUAAUAUAUUGAACCGCAUGGUUCAAUAGUGAAAGACGGUUUUGCUGUCACUUAUAGAUGGAUCCGCGCCGCAUUAGCUAGUUGGUAAGGUAACGGCUUACCAAGGCAACGAUGCGUAGCCGACCUGAGAGGGGGGUCGGCCACACUGGAACUGAGACACGGUCCAGACUCCUACGGGAGGCAGCAGUAGGGAAUCUGCGGCAAUGGGCGAAAGCCUGACGGAGCAACGCCGCGUGAGUGAUGAAGGUCUUCGGAUCGUAAAACUCUGUUAUUAGGGAAGAACAAAUGUGUAAGUAACUAUGCACGUCUUGACGGUACCUAAUCAGAAAGCCACGGCUAACUACGUG
rnacentral:rRNA from 1 species